rnacentral:rRNA from 1 species
UGGGUAAUCUGCCCUCGAUUCUGGGAUAGCCCGGGGAAACCCGGAUUAAUACCGGAUAGCCUCUCGAGCUUACGAGCUCGUGAGAAAAGGUAGCUUCGGCCUCCGAUCGAGGAUGAGCCCGCGGCGGAUUAGCUUGUUGGUGGGGUAAUGGCCUACCAAGGCGACGAUCCGUAGCUGGUCUGAGAGGAUGAUCAGCCACACUGGGACUGAGACACGGCCCAGACUCCUAGGGAGG